CGGGGACAUCACAUGCAAGGGGCUGCCCGAGAGAGAUCAGCACGGAGCCGGGCAGGAGAAACCUGAGGCUCGGAGAGGUGAAUGGACACGUCCAAGCUCAUACCACCAGCAGAUGAUGGAGCCGAAAUCUCAGCCCUGCACCAAUGUGGCUACGUGUUCAUUGACUUCCUGCAACAGAAUUCCUUUUACAGAUAUGGAACCAAGGGACACUUGGCACUGUUUGGAGGCUUCUGUGGCGUCACAACUGGACUGGGGAGGGGAUGAUACCAGCAUUUAGCUGGUAGGGGUCAGGGUGCUGCUCAAGCAAUUCUGAAGUUCACAGGACAGCACUUCACAGCAAAGAAUGAUCUGGCCCCAAGUGUCAGAAGAUGGAUAAACCUGUUAGAGGAAGAUAAGAAACCAGACAAUAAAU